rnacentral:lncRNA from 1 species
AGCUUUUUCAGAGCUGAGAAAUGGUAAGAGAGUGUGAAGAAAAGAAGGAAAAGAACAUAUUUCAUUUUCAGAAGUAACACCUUCCCUUCUGCAUGCUUGACAAUGCUUUCCCAAGACAACACUUUCUCUUGAAAAGUGGCACUUCUGAGACUUUCCUACUGUGUCACAGAUGAUGAAAAAUAUGUUAGAAAAAACGUUGGCUGU